GAUUUUAACUCGUUUGUUUGUUGUUUUUUCACAGGUUCACGGACUAUUCAGAGUUGGAAGGGAUCCACAAGGAUUCUCGAGUCCAGCUCUUAAGUAAAUGUCCAGUACAGGGAUUGCACCCACCACCUUGGUGUUACAAGCUCCAUGUUCUAACCAACUGCAACUCCAGAAAAUUAACAAAUUUAACUACAAAUAUCCACGUGUUCUGUCAAUGAACCCGCACAUCACCAUGAGGACAUCACAACAUCCCAGCUGUAUGCUACUCUGCUUGAGGAUUUUGAAGCCCAGAUUGCCUAGUCUGGUGGAAAUAUUUCUGGUGGAGAUGUAUAGGUGCAAGCUCUGCCAUUUCACAAGCAGGAUCCAAAGUAAGAUGAGGAGACACCUGGCUCAAAUAUGUGAAACUGAUAUGGCAUGUGGAAUUUCAGGCUGCCCUAAAAUGGACCAAGAUUAAUGUAUUUGCUCUGGUUUUAAGCUACUGCAACAAACUGUGGCUUUUAAUACAACUAAGGAAUGGAUCAAGGUCUGCAAGCAUCAGUGCAAGCACAGACCCUUCAGAGUUGCUGGCUUCAGCUCCAUCACAACAUCCUUACAUGUGUUGGUGGUGUCUUGACUGAACCACACUGGUGCACACUGGAUUGGAGAGUCAGGUUAAAAAAACCCAAACAGCACAACAAAUGAGCAAACAAAAACCGACUCAAACAAAUUACUUUUCUUGAGAAGCUCUAUUUUAUGUGAGUUUCACAAACAUAGCACAGAAUGAGGAGCAAGGUUUAUUUUCUCUACAGCUUUGACUUUCAUCACCUGGAAGUUUCUUAUCUCAGAUUUUUAAGUCCUCCCAUCACUGAUGGUAUUAUGAAAUAUUGGUAUUAUGUAUUUUGGGUUUCUUUUUGAAUUAGUUUACUUAGCUUAUUUCUUAAAUGGCACUCCAGAGAAGAGCUGAAGGGGGAUAUGGAAAAUUACAGAACUGCUACCACUUUUUUUGUCUUAAUUUUGGGAUCAAGUAUUCAAAACCAGACAUCAAUUGAGUGGACAUCACAAACACAUCCAUUGUGAAGAAGCAACAGACCCACAAAUGAAAGAGAGGAAGAGAAGAAAAAAGCCUGAAGACAAUCCUGUGUGUUUCAACACAAAAGCAACUUCAAAGAAGGAUUCAAGUUAAUUUAAAUGUAGCAUGUACAGUAGGUAUGAGCUAUUUUGUUCCUUAAUUGCAGAAUAUUUGGUAAUCUGGCACAUCUAUUUAUCUGCUGAUUUACUGACAUAUUUUUGUAAGAAAGUUGCCCUUUGAUAGCCUGAACAAAAAUAAAAAUAGCUGUUUCCUAGUUGGUGUGUGAUAGUACCAGUCUUUGGAAUAAAUUAAACAUUUGCUGAUCAAAAGGUGCAGCUAAGGUUUUCUUCUAUAGUUUGUUAAAGGCAAUAAGAAAGUACAGCCACUGAAAUAGGCUCUUUCAGGAGCCAAGAGAAAUGCUGUGAGACUUCUUGGAAUUCUGCAAGUUAACUAGGUGAAAAAACAGCUUCCUUUGGGUCAUGGCUGCAUUUUUAAGAGGAAUAUUAACUGAAGCACCAAUUUUAUCAGUGUAAAAUUCUACUUACCUGCACUCGUAAGAGUUAACACCAAGACUUUGCCUUACCUCAAGUGUAUCCUUUCUUCCAAAGAGAUUUUGAGAAGGCAUUUGAUGUUUUCCUGCUACUCAGAAAAAUCUCUUUUUCUUCGAUAAAGAAGAUAAUCUCUAGCCAUCACCUGUCCAUUAGUUGACAUUACAAAAUAUCAAAAUCUGCUAGCUUUUCUAAUUUUUAGGUAGAGAAGCUUGAGUAUAUCUCUUUCUCUGGGUUUCUUCUAAGUAUGUACAUUUGGCUUGGGGUGCUUUCUGUUUUUGUUAUUGGUAGCCAUACAUGUCUGCUACAUUGUCAGAAAGCAUUUUUACAAUAGUUCAACUAGAGAAGUCACUUUCUUGCUUUCGCAGUUGUGUAUCAUAAAUUAAUUCAAAUCAUCAAAGCUUUUUCCCCAAAGGCUUCUUUAUCCCACUGUUUUCUAGGACUUAAAUAAUUGUCUAUACUGAGUCUGGCUUUCCUCAUUUGAAGUUGUUAUUGCUCACGUGGAAAGAAAUAAAAGCAUGUUUUAAUAGC